ensembl:lncRNA
AUUCGUCAAUCAGUUGCAGUGGUCCAGGGUCCCGGCUGUCCUGGGCAGAGCCAGGAGAUAAGAGAAACUUUUCUUGCCUUCAAGGGACUGAAGGGAGCUCCCAGACCUCAAGGAUCAUGGACUAUAAGCUGGAGAAUUUAUUUAUCAGAAGAGACAUCAAAUAAAAGACUCCUUGCAGCCUGUUGGAAAGGACGACAUCAGGAUGAGAAGACGACGACAUCUACUGUAGACAGCUGUCCCAAGACUCCAGACCAGGCCUGUAUUCCCAACCUUGUGUCUCCUCAUUUAAACCUUUGUUAUGCUUAAACUGUAUGCCUGUUUUAUAAUUGUUCCAUUUAAGGUUACAAAAUACUAUCAUACUUAAAGAAGUGAUUGACUUCGAACAGACCGGUCUUGAAGGCCAGGCAUUUAUUGGGUGGCUCCUAACGGAACUCAGUGGUUACAUGGAACAAAUCUCUGGCCUUGGCUACUGCCUGAAUGGCUGAAACGCUGCACCCCGAGGUCCCCUUGGAAGCAGGGAAGGAGUCACACAGAGUGAACACCUGUGGCCAAUCUCCCUCUCUUUAAGGCCAGAUGGGCUCAUUCAGUGUUCCACCAAUAUGGCCACCAAGUGGCUAUAUUUGUUCCUUCUUUGGGGCUAAAAGAUGUCAUUAUUACAUAUGGAAGCCCUGAUUAAAUUUACUCAACGAGCCCUUAAUGAUAGUCAGGCAGGAAUAGCCUUAUUAAAUACUAAAAUGUCUUUAAUGAAAAAGGCUGUCCCUCAAAACAGAAUGGCUUUAGAGGUUUGAACUGCAUCCCAAGGUGGUACCUGUGCAAUCACUCAAACUGAAGGCUGUGCUUUUAUACAUGGUGAAUCUUCCAAUGUGUCAUCUCUGCUAAAGCACAAAAAAAAAAAAAAAAAAUCAAGUGAACGCCUUAAGCGAUCUUACACCCAGUCUCGAUUUGUUUGGUUGGCUCCCUUCCAGUAUCGCUUCCCUUUUCUUCGAUCCAGAUUGCAAUUCCUAUUUCUAUUACUUCUUGGAAUUCUUGUACUAGUCAUAACAUUCAAACUAAUUGUUGUUUUCUUUGCUCAGUGUGGUAAGACUGGCAUCCAAGCUAGAGUGAUGGUUGCUCGGCAACUUGAGAUGGUCGAUCGACUUUAUAACCCUGGACAAAUUUCCUUUUCUGAUAAGAACUAUGCCUAAGAACUCAUUUUAAACUAAUGUUUUCAAAUACGUUAAAUUAUUAUCAUUGUUACUGUACUUGUUCCAUAAUUGUGAACAAUGUAAACAUAAGGGGUCAUAGGAAAGCAUAUGUACAAUGUUUGUGCCACAAUCUGAAGUUAAUUCAAAGUUAUAUAACCUGUGAAAUCCUUCCUCUGUUAAUAUAUAUACCUCUAUGCUUGUCUGGCCAUUUCCUCCCAAUGUGGACAACUGGGCAAAUAAAAGAGAUGAAAGCCUGGCACCGAGGGACAUGAUGGACCCAGGGCAGGAAGCAGCCACUCUGGCGCCGAGCAACAAUAUUUUGAUCAUCAACGCUUUCCAUCAAAAGAUUGUAGAUCGAAGGGGGAAAAUGAUAAACAAAUGGCAAGCAAUAGGGUAUACUGGAGUCUGUGAAGAAGCCAUCUGGUGUAAAACUAAUUCAGCCUGACCUUGUUUUUCCAAAAGGGCGGUUGAGCAUGCAUUGUACGUCUGCUUUAAGCAUUUGCUACGUCUCAAAGACCAGAACAAAUGGUCUUAAGAUAAAAGUGCAACUUCUCCCACGUUGGCAUUUCCUUAAGGAUAAGCAUCUCUCCCCAGUCUAGGAAUUGAUGGCUGGGCCCACCCUGUGACCACCCAGCUCGAGACAGCAGACCUGCCACCUGCUGUGUGAAUAGCUGUGCUGUGCCAGCUGGGCAAUCUCGUGACUGUGGUAAAAGGGACAUUGCUGUCAUAUGUGAUGCAUGCUCUUUAUUCCAAGAUAGUAUAUAACCACUCUGUGCACCCCACUUCUUUGUGCCCCUCCUUCCUUGGAGAAGGAAGGCCCUAGGCUAGGCUAGCCCUCAGAUCUGGCUCGUAAUAAACUCACCCCAAUUUUGAUGUA